rnacentral:hammerhead_ribozyme from 1 species
AUUCAGAUGAUGAGUCCCGAAUAGGACGAAAUGCGCAUCUUGGGU